UUUCACUGUAGAUCUACCUGCG
rnacentral:miRNA from 3 species